AUGUUUUCGUUCCACAGGUCCACUUUCCAUAGGACCCUUGUCAGGAAUUUGUUUAGUUCCUGUUUUAACUGCUUUGGUGUUACUAUUGUAUUUUCGCAAAAGGAUCAAGAAUGCAUUGUGCACCUCCAGUGACUGUGAAGUGAAGAUUGAGGCCCUCAAGUGGGACAGUGGAAUCUAUGAGAUCAGCGCAUUAAUUCAGUCGCUAAAGGUGGAGGAGUGCAACUAUUCAGAAAUUGAAGUUGUAAAAUAUGAAAAAGAAGAAAAGGAGCCUCUGCCAUAUUGUAAUUUGGAAAAUACAUCUAUACCUCAAUGCUGCACCAAAGAAAAUCCUACAAAAGAUACUGCUUUGGAUGGAUGUGUGAAUUUAUUAAAUAUAAACAACUUAACGUACUUCUGGCAAAACAGUACUUCAUAUAAUCAGGGAGCAGAAGAUCCCUUUCCAGCAUCACAAUCUAAGUUUUGUUCUUCCCAACCACCAGAUGGCAUUGCUUUGGAUUAUUUACCCAGUCCAUAGACUUAAGUGAAAUAAAAUUUCUAGCUUAAAAAUGAUUUAAAUCAACAGUUUACACCUUGUGUAAGCUAGCAAAAAUCUGAGAAUAAAUAAAUAUGAUAAUGACAUUAACAGAUGAACCAUAUAGACUUAGAUUUAAAUUAUUUUGAGAUGUCUAAUUUUCAAAGUUGUGUUCAAUUAUAAAGUUAUCUUAAAUUAUUGUGGUAUAAAUAUUGGAGAUAAAUAUGUAUUUUUUGUUUUGCUAUUUCGGGAGUUAUGCCAGCAUAAUUCCCUC